rnacentral:lncRNA from 1 species
CUCGUUUUCGAUCUUAAGGUAUUCAAAUCAACGUUCCACACCAUUAAAACUGAUCUAGGGUAUUUAAAGUUUUUAGAAAUAAAAUUUUAUAUUUUUUCGACAUACUUUACUUUAUGAUUAAAUCAUUUCAAAAUUGUCAAUUUUCAAUAACUACUAUGAUGAGUUUGGAGUUUAGAAGAAUCUCAAUUUCUUCAAAUUUUGAUAGAAAAUACUUUAAACUAUUUAGAUUAAGGUUAACAUUAUUGAUCUUGAAUUUAAAAGUCCUAUGCUCAAAUUUUAAAGAUUAUUCAAUUUCCACCGU